AGAAGCAAGGAGGAUGUUGCUUUAAUAUGAAUUCAACACAGUGUACAUAGAGCAGGGAGGGUAGGAGAAAGAUAUCGGAGCUCCACGGAGUUCAUGGGUGACCGUCAUGUUUCACAGCAGAUCUGCUUGGUGACGUCCACAAACACCCACAAACAUUGCAUAUGGCUCCGGAUAAAUAACCUGUGACAGCGAAUCAGCUGAUGCAUCUAUAGGUUGCAUGGCAACAUGAUGCUCUCCAUCCUUGACUAAGCUAUAAGUCUUGAGAUGUCAAAUGCUGUUUGGCCAGGAGCUGACGGGUUAUUGCCAUUGAUGCAACCUUUCAAAAAAGAGGGCAGAGGGGGGAAAUAGCAGAAGAUAAGGAACAAGAAAGAGGGAUGGAGGGAGUUCCUAACACUUAUUUCUUCACUGCCAACAUGGAAAUUUCUUUCUUGUUGCAGUUGCCGGCAAAAUGUAUAUCUUUCACAUCAAAAGUUGCCUUUAGAACAAGAAUUGUCCAUCCAUCAUGCUGCUUCACAGAAAGAGGAUCACAAACGGGACCAGAGCAGGACACCGGAGGCAUUGCUGGUGGAUUUAAGGGAUCUUGGCAAAAAAAGAUGGAAAUACAAUAUCCUGGGAUAUGUGAAACUCAAAACCGACCUUGGUAGAAGGAAUGGGUCCAGCCUGAAAGUAAUCUCCCAGGAUCCCAAGUCACGUGGUCAUCUGGACAGUGGUCAUGUUACCUGACCCAGCACAUCACAAAAGUCACUGUUAAGAGAUUUACCUGCUUAAACCAGAGGCUCUCGGCAAUAGAGGAAAGUGUUAAAAACACUAUGUAUAAAAAUCUCAAUGUUCUGCACAUAUCUUUUAUGACCUUCUGGGUGGUGAUAAAAACAUGUAUAUUAACUCCAAAGCUGCGGC